rnacentral:rRNA from 1 species
UCGAAGCCUCACAAGCAGUGCGACCCGUGAAUUUGUUUGACUACUCAGGGGUGGCUAGAGGUGUUCUGCACCUCGGCCCCCCUCGUGUCGGGAGGUGCUCCCCUUCGUGUGGUCUCCUCUCGGCCUAAUAACAAAACCCCGGCGCCGAACGCGCCAAGGAAAUUGAAAUCGUUUAGUGCUCCCCCGUCGGCCCGGAGACGGUGCCUGCGGGUGGCGUCACGACACGCGUAUCCAAA